rnacentral:RNase_P_RNA from 1 species
AUCGAGGCGCGGCCUGUCGCUUCGCGCCGGGCGCGCGAAGAGGAAAGUCCGGGCAACAUAGAGCGGCAUACUUCCUAACGGGAAGCCGGCGGAGACGUCGGGUAGCUGUGACAGAAAAUAACCGCCCCCGCCUUCGGGUGGGGGUAAGGGUGAAAAGGUGGGGUAAGAGCCCACCGGCCUCCCGGGCAACCGGGAGGGCCGCACAGUCUAUGUGUUGCAAGGCCAAAUACACCGGCAAUUAAGGAUUGCUCGUCCACUGCCGGGGGGUAGGCUGCUUCAGGACGUCGGCGACGGCGUCCGUAGAUAAAUGGCAGGCAGGCGAGAAAGGACUUUGCUCCCGAAUCGCCUACAUAACCCGGCUUAUAACGCCUCCGUUUUU